AUGGUUUUCACAUAUCCCAAAA
rnacentral:snRNA from 1 species